AAUAUACCCCACCUGUCCGAAAUUACUUGUCGCACGAAUGGAUAAAAUUAGAUGUAUCUAGAACUAAAAUANNNCUAGAUACAUCCAUUCUUGUGACAAGAAAUGACAGGUAUUUCCGGAUGGAGGGAGUACAAC
rfam:Hordeum vulgare subsp. vulgare, WGS project CAJW01000000 data, contig: morex_contig_2596859